rnacentral:tRNA from 1 species
ACCACGUCUAAAUGCAAAUUCGUGAGACGCCCCGAUUUAGGUGCCCGGACUUCUCCCGUUU